AUGCCUAGACGGACAGAAGAUGCUGAACCAAAAGAGUGCUUGGAGUUUGAUGAUAAUGAAGAGGAAGAGGUAGAAGAGGAAGAAAUUGAGUAUGAAGAAAUUGAGGAGGAGGUAGAGGAGGAGGUGGUGGAGGAGGAGGAGGAGGAGGAGGAGGAAGUGGAGGAGGUAGAGGAGGAGGAAGACCCUGAAGAAAGAGAAGUUCUUGAUGAAAUUGAUGCUAGUCAUGACAGUGACAGUAAAUCGGAAGUUGUCCCUCUUCCUCAGCAGGAUGGUGCCAAAGAUGGGAGCGAUAAAGAGAAGCAUGCCGAACUUCUUGCUCUUCCUCCUCAUGGAUCUGAAGUAUAUUUUGGGGGCAUCUCCAGCGAUGCAUCUUCUGACGAUCUCAAGAAACUAUGCGAGCCAGUUGGCGAAGUUGUGGAAGUUAGAAUAAUGCUGAGCAAGAAGGAUAGUAGGGGAUAUGCUUUUGUUACUUUCAGAACUAAUGACCUGGCUUUGAAGGCCAUCGAGAAAUUGAACAAGGCAACUUUCAAGGGAAAGAAGCUAAGAGUUUCUUCCUCCCAGGCUAAGAACAAGCUAUUUGUUGGAAAUAUACCUCACAGUUGGUCAUUCGAUGAUUUUAAAAAAGCAGUGGAAGAAGUUGGUCCUGGAGUAUUAAAAGUUGAUCUGAUUAAGGAUCCACGUACAGAUCGCAAUCGGGGUUAUGGUUUCGUUGAAUACUAUAAUAAUGCAUGCGCUGAGUAUUCAAGGCAGAAGAUGACUGCACCAAAUUUCAAACUAGAUACAAAUGCUCCUACUGUCAGCUGGGCAGAUCCUAAGAAUGGCGAUUCUGCCUCUACAGGCUCUACUUCACAGGUCAAAUCUGUAUAUGUCAAAAACCUGCCCAAGAAUGUUACUCAAGGGCAGCUGAAAAAGCUGUUUGAGCGCCAUGGUGAAAUCAUAAAAAUUGUUCUCCCCCCUUCAAAAGAUGGUCAUGAUAAUAGGUAUGGUUUUGUUCACUUUAAAGACCGCCACAUGGCCAUGAAGGCUGUGAAGAGCACAGAGAAAUAUGAGCUUGACGGUCAGCUCCUGGACUGCUCACUCGCAAAACCUCCUGCUGAUAAAAAAGACGAUACAGUAUCAUUGCCUACUGCCAAAGGAGGUCCGUUGCUGCAUGCUCCGCUUGGAUAUGGUAUGCCACGGCCAGAUCCUUAUGGUGCGCCUCCUGCUUAUAGUGCCCCUCCUGCUUAUGGUGCACCUCCUGCUUAUGGUGGACAGCCUCUGCUCUAUGCUCCAGGAGCUCCUCCAGGUGCAGCAAUGGUUCCAAUGCUUCUACCUGAUGGCCGUCUUGUAUAUGUUGUGCAACAGCCUGGAGCGCAGCAACAUUUCGCUUCCCCUCCGCCCCAGGUGCGGCAACAUCAGCAUUUCACGUCUCCUCCGCCACAGGCACGGCAAAUUGGACGCAGUGGUGGCAGCGGUGGCGGUGGAGGCAGUGGUGGAUCGAGUAGGUCCGGUUCCGGUACAAAGCGCCCAAGGGGAGAUGACAACAACAGCAGCAGUCGCAACCGACAACGCCGGUAUUGA
rnacentral:rRNA from 1 species